GACGAACGCUGGCGGCGUGCUUAACACAUGCAAGUCGAACGGAAAGGCCCUGCUUUUGUGGGGUGCUCGAGUGGCGAACGGGUGAGUAACACGUGAGUAACCUGCCCUUGACUUUGGGAUAACUUCAGGAAACUGGGGCUAAUACCGGAUAGGAGCUCCUGCUGCAUGGUGGGGGUUGGAAAGUUUCGGCGGUUGGGGAUGGACUCGCGGCUUAUCAGCUUGUUGGUGGGGUAGUGGCUUACCAAGGCUUUGACGGGUAUACGGCCUGAGAGGGUGACCGGCCACAUUGGGACUGAGAUACGGCCCAGACUCCUACGGGAGGCAGCAGUGGGGAAUAUUGCACAAUGGGCGGAAGCCUGAUGCAGCAACGCCGCGUGCGGGAUGACGGCCUUCGGGUUGUAAACCGCUUUCGCCUGUGACGAAGCGUGAGUGACGGUAAUGGGUAAAGAAGCACCGGCUAACUACGUG
rnacentral:rRNA from 1 species